GACGACGCUGGCGGCGUGCCUAAUACAUGCAAGUCGAACGAGUGGCGGACGGGUGAGUAAUGUCUGGGUAACCGCCUGAUGGAGGGGGGUAACUACUGGAAACGGUAGCUAAUACCCCCUAUCAUCGGAUGUGCCCAGAUGGGAUUAGCUAGUAGGGGGGGUAAAGGCGCAUCAAGGCUACGCUCCCUAGCUGAUCUGAGAGGAUGACCGGCCACACUGGAACUGAGACACGGUCCAGACUCCUACGGGAGGCAGCAGUAGGGAAUAUUGCACAAUGGGCGCAAGCCUGAUGCAGCCAUGCCGCGUGAAUGAAGAAGGUCUUCGGGUUGUAAAGUACUUUCAGCGGGGAGGCGGUACCCGAAGAAGAAGCACCGGCUAACUCCGUGCCAGCAGCCGCGGUAAUUC
rnacentral:rRNA from 1 species